rnacentral:rRNA from 1 species
GACGAACGCUGGCGGCGUGCUUAACACAUGCAAGUCGAACGGAAAGGCCCUGCUUUUGUGGGGUGCUCGAGUGGCGAACGGGUGAGUAACACGUGAGUAACCUGCCCUUGACUUUGGGAUAACUUCAUGAAACUGGGGCUAAUACCGGAUAGGAGCUCCUGCUGCAUGGUUGGGGUUGGAAAGUUUCGGCGGUUGGGGAUGGACUCGCGGCUUAUCAGCUUUUUGGUGGGGUAGUGGCUUACCAAGGCUUUGACGGGUAGCCGGCCUGAGAGGGUGACAGGCCACAUUGGGACUGAGAUACGGCACAGACUCCUACGGGAGGCAGCAGUGGGGAAUAUUGCACAAUGGGCGGAAGCAUGAUGCAGCAACGCCGCGUGCGGGAUGACGGCCUUCGGGUUGUAAACCGCUUUCGCCUGUGACGAAGCGUGAGUGACGGUAAUGGGUAAAGAAGCACCGGCUAACUACGUG